CUACGGGACGCAGCAGUGAGGAAUUUUGCGCAAUGGGGGAAACCCUGACGCAGCAACGCCGCGUGAGUGAUGAAGGCCUUCGGGUCGUAAAGCUCUGUCAAGUGGGAAGAACCCACCCUGUGCUAAUAUCACAGGGUGCUGACGGUACCACUGAAGGAAGCACCGGCUAACUCCGUGCCAGCAGCCGCGGUAAUACGGAGGGUGCAAGCGUUAUUCGGAAUUACUGGGCGUAAAGGGCGCGUAGGCGGCUUUUUAAGUCAGAUGUGAAAUCCCGGGGCUCAACCCCGGAAGUGCAUCUGAAACUAAGAAGCUUGAGUAUGGGAGAGGGAAGUGGAAUUCCUGGUGUAGAGGUGAAAUUCGUAGAUAUCAGGAGGAACACCGGUGGCGAAGGCGACUUCCUGGACCAAUACUGACGCUGAGGCGCGAAGGCGUGGGGAGCAAACAGGAUUAGAUACCCCCGUAGUC
rnacentral:rRNA from 1 species